CCAGCCUGCGGCAUGAUCUCAGUUUCCUGGUUUCUGUUAUGUUGUAUUUUCUCUUGUGUUUCUAGUGUUUGAUUUGUGUUAUUUUGGUAGUUAUCAUUUCUCCUGAGUUUCUGGUUUCAUCCUUUUCCCUUGUGUUUCUGGUGUCAUUGUGCUUCCUGUUUUAUUUUGAAGUCUUGUCUUGUCUCACCAGUGUUGCUUUUACUUCCUGUCUUUGUCCUAUGUUUCCCUCCAUUUUCUGCCCUCACCUGUUCCCCAUGAGUAAUUAUCCCAAUGGGUAUAUAUGGUCCUGUGUCUUCCCAGUCCUUUGUCAGAGUAUUGUGGUGUUCAGUGGAUGUGGCUGUUUGUUGGGCUUGGUGUGUGUGCGCGCGCGCGUGCCGAAGCCCAACAAACGCGCGUGCGUGCACGUAUGUACGUGUCCCUGUGUUCCCCAGUGUUCCUUUUGGAUUUGUUUGGACCUCUUGUGUUCUUAGACUUUUUCCUGCGCCUGAUCGCCAGACACCUGGUUGGCCCUGUCCCCAGCUAUGUCGAGGCUGAGCCCCCAGAAGGAAGCACAGGCCUCAGAGACUCUAGGCCUCCAGUUUCUUGGCUGAGCUUGAGCCUCGGUCUUCCAGCCUCCAGCUCCAGCUACAGCCCCUGGGUUCUAACUAUCAUACCUUACCUCUGCCCCAGGCUUCUUCACUUCAGGCUGCUUCACUUCAGCGGCCUGGCACCAUGAUCCACAGCCAGUCAGCAGCUCUCAAAGUGGCAGCCCAGUAGACACCUCUCCCGUCUGUGGUCCAUCCUACCCCAGCUCCUUGUCAUUUUCAGUUGGCAGUCCAGCUGACACCAGCCUCGUCAGUGGUUUGGCCGAUCCCUGCUCCUCGUCUCCAGUUGGCCCAGCAGACAACUGUCCCAUCUGCAGUCUGCCCCACUCCAGCUCCUCGCCAUCUCCAGUUGGUGGCUCGGUUGACACCAGCUUCCAGUGUUUUCUUGUUGGCGGUCUGGCCAACUGCAGCCAGUGAGCGGCUCUACUGUUCAGCCUCCUGAGGGGACUCUGUUCCGCCAUCAUUGCCUCCUGCCCGGCCUCCUGAGGGACUCUGCUUCACUGCCGUCGUCGCCCUCCUGCCCAGGCUGCCUGAGGUUUCCUCUUCCCUGGCUCCCCAGCCCCCUGGCUAUCCACUCAAGGAGUUUGAUCAAAUAAAAUGUCCCCAAAUGCCAAAAACUAGCAAAAUUUUCAAAUUAAUAUUAAAAUGGCCAACUUCCUGUAGGUUUGAGGAUAUGCUGUUGAGAGACUUUUUGAUGCAUCGCAGCAUGUUACAUCAUGCCUCCGAAUUUUGUUCAUCUCGGACAAACCAAGCCCAAUGGUAAGGAGGUUUUAAGUAUGUCCAAGGGGGCGCUGUAGAGCCAUUUUAUGGCUCCAAUGAAUGAGACCCCUAUCAAAUAUCAAUUUUUGCCAGGUCUGAUGUGUGUGCAAAGUUUUGAGUUUUUGAGCAUGUUUAGGCCCUCAAAAAAUGCAAUUUUAGCAUUACAAGAAUAAUUCUUUGAUUACAAUAGGGCCUUUGCAUGCUAGUGCUUGGGUCCUAAUUAAAUUUAGCAACUA